GAGGAGCAAAGAUUUGCUGCUUUCAUACUUCUUCUUCCUGCUACGCCCUUGCUUUCCCACCGCUCCGUGGGGGGCCUUUUCUUCUCACUUGAGAGAUGCGAUUUGAAAGAAGAGAAGAGGUUCUAUCAGUUAAUCACCAUCCCUUCCUCUAAUGAAUUAGAUCCCAUCUGCUAACUAUAACUCAACUCCGAGGGAAUAAUGAAAAGCAAAAAAAUCCUCUACUCGAAAGCCGUUGCUGAUCCCCCAUAUGCUAACUAUAACUCAACUCCGAGGGAAUAAUGAAAAGCAAAAAAGUCCUCUACUCGAAAGCCGUUGCUGAUCUGAUCUUUUCUUUCCUGGGCGUGGGAGAGACAAAGUCUUCUU
rnacentral:lncRNA from 1 species